rnacentral:rRNA from 1 species
UACGAAGGGGGCUAGCGUUGUUCGGAAUUACUGGGCGUAAAGCGCGUGUAGGCGGGCCGUUAAGUCGGGGGUGAAAGCCCAGAGCUCAACUCUGGAAUUGCCUUAGAUACUGGCGGCCUGGAGCAUGAUAGAGGCAAGUGGAAUUGCGAGUGUAGAGGUGAAAUUCGCAGAUAUUCGCAGGAACACCGGUGGCGAAGGCGACUUGCUGGAUCAUUGCUGACGCUGAGACGCGAAAGCGUGGGGAGCAAACAGG